rnacentral:rRNA from 1 species
UACGGAGGGAGCUAGCGUUGUUCGGAUAUACUGGGCGUAAAGCGCACGUAGGCGGCGUCGUAAGUCAGGGGUGAAAUCCCGGAGCUCAACUCCGGAACUGCCCUUGAAACUGCAAUGCUAGAGGAUUGGAGAGGUAGCUGGAAUUCUUGGUGUAGCAGUGAAAUGCGUAGAUAUCAAGUGGAACACCAGUGGCGAAGGCGAGUCCCUGGACGACUCCUGACACUGAGGCACGAAAGCUAGGGGAGCAAACAGG